AACUAAGUAGUCUCAAAGUGAUUCGGUCGUGAGGCACACUGAUGCGGUUACGGGGUAAGACGGCCCGAAACACCUAGGCGUGCAAUGCCUCAGCUGCCAACCAGUAUUGAGCCCAGUCCGUGAUAGGGCAAACAAGUUGCACGCGCUUCCGCAGGCACCACCGCAGUGUGGUCCAGCAGUGACUUGUGUAGUCCUCGUGGGAGGCUGGUUUUGAAAGCAUAUGAUUCAGAU
rnacentral:misc_RNA from 1 species